UUUAGGCGCCAGGACAACAUUUGUUGUUGACGAGGAAGAAGUUUAUCGAAAGAUUCGGCGGAUGCUUCUUGGCAUGAUUACUGUCAUAAGUAUUUAAUUAAAAACUAAUAGUGAUAUUAGAUAACAGAA
rnacentral:ncRNA from 1 species